UACGUAGGGAGCAAGCGUUGUUCGGAUUUACUGGGCGUAAAGGGCGCGUAGGCGGCGUGUCAAGUCGAUUGUGAAAUCUCCGGGCUUAACUCGGAACGGCCAAUCGAUACUGACGUGCUAGAGUGCAGAAAGGGCAAUCGGAAUUCUUGGUGUAGCGGUGAAAUGCGCAGAUAUCGGGAGGAACACCGGUGGCGAAGGCGGUUCUCUGGGCCUUACCUGACGCUGAGGAGCGAAAGCGUGGGGAGCGAGCAGG
rnacentral:rRNA from 1 species